AAAAGGCAUACCAAAAGAAAGUGAUUGAGAAAAUUAUAGCAGAAAGGAACUGUUUGAUUGUCAUGGCUACUGGAAGUGGCAAGUCUUUGUGGCAGUGAGGCAGAUGUGUAUCUUUUCGAUGGUUGCAUUACACCGUGGAAAGUCCCAAAUGGGAAAGACCUCCUUUUUGUGAGACCUGAUGCUGUGUUUGAUGGGAAGAAACUGAUCAGGUUGUUUCAGAUUUGUGUGUGCCUUUUCUUUUCUACUUGGUUUUGAAUUUUUAGAAAUAAUUUGGGUUCUUUUUGGUUUCAAUUUUGAGUCUUGAGUGGCAAUGAGCUUGAAUCUAAAGGUACCUGUUGGGUUUCAUCAAAUACUAACUAUAUCUCUCUUCGGAUAGUGGAGGAGUUCCACAUUGUUUCCCACAGUUUGGACCCAUCCCUAUGCAGCCCAACGUAAAAGCAACUUUUAGAUUCUUUUAUUUUUCCUUUCUUCAUUUUAAAUGAAAAAAAAAAAAAGAACAAAUGUGAAGCAUUAGUGUGCAGCAGCUCUGUAGGUAUAAUAAUGUGGCCAUAUGUUUUAACAAACAGUGAAAAUACUCUUCUUUAGUAACUCAAUAUUCAAUUAUAUUUCUAGCUUGUAUAUUCGUCGGUCAUAACUAUGAAUGACUAAUGGGAUCAAUAAUAACAUGUUUGCUUCCACGGGGUGGAGCAGGGCAGAUCCUAUUUUCCUAGGGGUCAUGGAUCUGAUCAAGGGUCUUUCUGGAACAGACUAAAAUAUAAACACAAGAACUUAGCGUGCAGCAGCUCUGUAGGAGAAUGUCCCAAGACAUACUGGGGAACUAUAGUAAAUAAUAGGUUGAGAAUGAUGUGGUAACUUUUGAGCAUUGUUCUUAAAUUAAUGUGGCAACUUCUGCUUAUGUUAUGCUCAUUAUCUAUUUCCUUUAAGCUUCAUAGUUAGCACCAUCAUGAGCGUCAUUCACUUCAUAUAGUUCCUGGCACAUCACGUAAAGCUUUCUCUAUGCUUGUUUUUCUUUUUGUUAUCUUCUGGCAAGUUAAGUAUCUUAUGUAUUUCAAUUAUAGCAUUUCAGAAACUCUCUGAACCUUAUGUCCAUAUGAGGUACAAACGCUUGAAUAUGUGACUCAAAGAUCAUCAAAGAAAAAAUUCCUUGCAAAAGGCCAUUUUUCUUGUAGUGUAAAGGUAAAAUUGAUUUGUUGUUGAUUAUGGUUUAAUUGUUUGAGUUCGGAUUUGAAUUGGGUAUGUGAGAUUAUGAUUGAUUAGUGUGGUUUUGUGGGGUUGUGCUACUUUUUCUUGUGCAGGAAUUUGAUGGGGUAUAUGGACCAGUAUGGCACUGCAUUGUAGGAACAAAUUUUGGGUCUUUUGUGACACACUCAGUAAGUGGCUUUAUGUAUUUCUCAAUGGAUCAAAAGUUGUACAUCCUCUUGUUUAAGACCACAGUACAAAGAGCAGACUGAAAGUUUUUCAAUCAUUUUUAGCAUAGGAAGAAGAAGUUCUGGAAAAGCUUUAAAAAUAAGUUGUAAUUCUUUCUGGCUUGUACAGUGUUUAAUGCAGCAGGAAAAAGCUGAAAACUUGAUCCUUUGUAACUGUGUAAAAGACAUUUACUUGGUUGGUUGAAGUUGUGGGGCUUGGUAAAUGUCUGAUUCAGAAAUCCUUUCUGCUAGUUCUGUAAGCCCAUAUGCAUCUGUCACUUCUCAUUACAUAUAAUAUAAUCCUUAUAAGUCUUUUUUUUUGCUUUUCUGUGACUUUUUUCUUUCUUUUGGCUUGAUCAAUAUUUAUUGCCCUCUGGCCUUGUUUGGCUUUAAGCUUUAGUAUUCAUAGGAUGAUGGGAUCAAUUCACCUCAGAAGAGAAUGAGAAUGCUCAGUAAAUGAGAUAAUAUGAAAGACUUGAAGUGCAGGUAUUAUGUGAUGUUCCGGCUUGAAGUGCAGGUAUUAUGUGAUGUUCCUUUCUUGGUUAUCUUUUUGAUAUAUGAAAGACUGUUGUCACCCCCAAACCUAAUGGCUUGAUGUGUUAUUCUUGAACUAGUUUCUCAAUGAAUUUUGUUCCAGGGGUUGGCUGUUGUUGCAAUAUUGAGGCACUUUAGAUACCCUUGCAGGUAAAUCAUGUUCUGAACUAAUGUUAGUUUCUGUCCAACUAAUAUUACUUAUUGCUUGCUUUAAUUUUCUUCCGAGUGUUGAAGUUAUUUUAGCAUUUCUUUUGUUUCAUUUCUAUACAUAGUGUUCCAUAUUGUUAAUGAUGGUAGUGAGUAAUUAUAUAGCCUUGCAGGUAAUGUGGUAUUUUUAUCAAGCUGAUUGUCUGGUCUGUUAUUAUAGGUUCAUUUAGCACCUGGAAGCAAAUUUAAUUUUCAAAAAUAUAUCAAAAGAUCAUUAGAAGAUGACUUUAAAGUCUGCGCAGACUUAGAAGUUCCUUCAGAUGAUGGCAAAAAGAAGAAAGCCAUAACAUCAAUCGGAAUAUUAACAGCAGCACUUCUGCUUCUGCUUUUGGUUGCAGGUAUUAUGUAGAGUAAGGGCUACAUAGGAGGAAAGAUCGCUGCAGAUAAAGGUUUGAAGCAUGUUAAAGUCUAGUGUGGUCAAAGUCGUAACUAGUAUCUUUUAUCUCCUAAGAUUCAAGCUUUGCCUUGUCCACAAUGUCUAAAUAGUUCAACUGUUGUCUUUAUGAACAAGAGAUAAGCUUAAUACUUUAUCUUAAUUGACAUGGAAGCAGAGCUCAGAGAAAUGGAUUUGCAGACAUGAUUUUUUACUUUAAAACAGAUAUUGAAAUGGUUGUAACUAUGAAUUGUAUUUUGGAUGAUGUUGAUGCAAUGAAACGUAGGCAUCAUUUUGAAUGCUGAUUUUAGUCCAA